rnacentral:ribozyme from 12 species
GCGAGUCAUCCUGAAACUAUCCCUCCCCCAAACAAAAAAGAGAAAAAAAGAAACAAAAACAAAAAAAAAUAGGAGA